AGCAGCCGCGGUAAUUCCAGCUCCAAUAGCGUAUAUUAAAGUUGUUGCAGUUAAAAAGCUCGUAGUUGAAUUUCGGGAUUGACGUGAUGGUCAUGCCUUAAGGGGUAUGAACUGUCACUGUUGAUUUCUCACCUUCUGGAGAAACUUGAUGUCCUUUAUUGGGUGUCUUGCGGAUCCAGGACCUUUACCUUGAAAAAUUAGAGUGUUUAAAGCAGGCAUUUUUGCUCGAAUACAUUAGCAUGGAAUAAUAGAAUAGGACGGCAUGGUUCUAUUUUGUUGGUUUCUAGGAUCACCGUAAUGAUUAAUAGGGAUAGUUGGGGGCAUUAGUAUUCAAUUGUCAGAGGUGAAAUUCUUGGAUUUAUUGAAGACUAACUACUGCGAAAGCAUUUGCCAAGGAUGUUUUCAUUAAUCAAGAACGAAAGU
rnacentral:rRNA from 1 species